rnacentral:rRNA from 1 species
UACGGAGGGAGCUAGCGUUGUUCGGAAUUACUGGGCGUAAAGCGCGCGUAGGCGGCUUUGCAAGUUAGAGGUGAAAGCCCGGAGCUCAACUUCGGAAUUGCCUUUAAAACUGCAUCGCUUGAAUCCGGGAGAGGUGAGUGGAAUUCCGAGUGUAGAGGUGAAAUUCGUAGAUAUUCGGAAGAACACCGGUGGCGAAGGCGGCCCACUGGUCCGGUACUGACGCUGAGGUGCGAAAGCGUGGGGAGCAAACAGG